UAUAAGGGAUGAUAUAUAUGGAAGUGGAACUAACCCACACAGAAAUACAAUAAAUAAUUACCCAAGUUGACUUUAGGAGAAAUAUUCUUAUCAGUUACGUUUUGGCUUUUGCAUAUUCAACUUGUCCUUCUUAUCUUAAUUAAUAUAAAACGCCAGCCAUUCCCACAUGUUUCCUCAUGCCAAUAGCCAUCAUCGCCCACCCUCUCUCCCCUCCUUUUAUUUUUCUCCAGUCUGCAGUGCUGUGUAGAUCCAUUGAGUGCUUCAUAAGAAGCAAAGGCAUGGCGCACAAGUGUAAUUUUAUGACACAACUAGUUAUCUUUCUAUGUUUUACAUAUGUCCUAUCAUCAAUAGCUGCAGCUCUACGACAAGAAGUCGGAAGAUAAGUAAGGAAGGCCUACCGAGUCAGAAUUUGUUGGAUGAAGGUGUCCUUGAUUUGGGAGAAGGAUUUGUGGAGGGGCGGAUGGAUCUGGAAACCAAUGAUUAUUCAGGGGUUGGAGCAAAUCCGGUGCAUGAUCCAAAACCCCCAGGAAGAAUUUGAGCCUUAUGGUGGGUUUUGUUUUUGAACUUUUGAUCUGGUUGGGGUUUUCUUCAGUUGUAUGUCCUCCAUGUCCAUACACGUAAUAAUUUAAUAUACAAGAAUUAUUUUUUGGGUGAUAAGAACAACGUGCUUGUUGAAUACAAUCUUUCUGGUUUUUGGUUGUUGUAAUCUUCUUCUAAUUAUUUUAUUAAUUCUCCUUUAUUAUUUGUUGC